UGGGGAGUAGAGUAGUUUGGUAGCUCGCAAGGCUCAUAACCUUGAGGUCGCGGGUUCAAAUCCCGCCUCCCCUU
rnacentral:tRNA from 13 species